rnacentral:rRNA from 1 species
CGUAGCGAAGUUACGCUAAUACCGCAUACGAUCUACGGAUGAAAGCGGGGGAUCGCAAGACCUCGCGCGAUUGGAGCGGCCGAUAUCAGAUUAGGUAGUUGGUGGGGUAAAGGCUCACCAAGCCAACGAUCUGUAGCUGGUCUGAGAGGACGACCAGCCACACUGGAACUGAGACACGGUCCAGACUCCUACGGGAGGCAGCAGUGGGGAAUUUUGGACAAUGGACGCAAGUCUGAUCCAGCCAUUCCGCGUGCAGGAUGAAGGCCCUCGGGUUGUAAACUGCUUUUGUACAGAACGAAAAGGCUUCCAUUAAUACUGGGGGCUCAUGACGGUACUGUAAGAAUAAGCACCGGCUAACUACGUGCCAGCAGCCGCGGUAAUACGUAGGGUGCAAGCGUUAAUCGGAAUUACUGGGCGUAAAGCGUGCGCAGGCGGUUAUAUAAGACAGAUGUGAAAUCCCCGGGCUCAACCUGGGAACUACAUUUGUGACUGUAUAGCUAGAGUACGGUAGAGGGGGAUGGAAUUCCGCGUGUAGCAGUGAAAUGCGUAGAUAUGCGGAGGAACACCGAUGGCGAAGGCAAUCCCCUGGACCUGUACUGACGCUCAUGCACGAAAGCGUGGGGAGCAAACAGGAUUAGAUACCCUGGUAGUCCACGCCCUAAACGAUGUCAACUGGUUGUUGGGUCUU